UGCAUGGCACUGCCGUAUAUGCUCAAUUGCUCACUAUUGCCGUAUGCCGUAUCAUUCCCUUCCUUCAGUUUAUACACAUCACUCUCAUAUUCGUGCUUUUUAAAGGUUAUGGGCCGUGGUUAAUGUGAUGUGGAAGAGUGUGUUCGAGAACGUUUAGCCGCCAUUUUCUGUGAUCGAGCUCCUCUCGUGUUUUUCUCUUCUCUCUCUCCGUCCUCUUUUUCAACUUGUCCGUGGCUGCGAUGGCAGAAAAGGAAGCAACCGGAAAUUCUCUGCAGGGUGACGACUGAUAUGAGCUCAAGAAAAGUGAUCCUGCUGGUGCAGACUCCUAAAAAGAUCGACAAUCUAACUCAUGAAUUGGCGGAACAGUCUGCAACUCAGGAAGGUGUGAUAGCCGAGUCUGGAUCGACGGAGGCUAGAAGCUUUGGGUGGUACAACCAAAAAGAUUGUCAUUAAUAAGAUGAUGAGUAGUAGAGUUCGUGGAAUUCGAGAUCAGGAACGUGCUUGUUUCCGCAUGGGAUAGGCAGACAUUGAGGCAGGGAAAGAGACAUAUGUUGCUGCUGCAGUCGCACAUCACCGAGAGGGGAGGCGCACGCUGUACGGUCACGGCUUGAAUUCGGCCAGGCCACAUUGUAGCUGGUGGCACACAUGGAACAGCAAAUUUUUGAUAGAGGAGACGUAUACUACAGCCAGGAAAUGUUGGACUUGGUUAAUUUAAUAGAAAACAGUGGUGGAAUAAUUCGACUUACUCCUAUAAAACAACGCAUUCCAAGGAAAGGCCCUUUAAAUAGAAAGAUAUAUUCGAUUUACACCUCAACCGAAGAUAGAAAAUUAAAAUGUUUGAAAGAUAGAAAGAUAGAUUUAAUUGAUACCUCAACUAAAAAUAGAAAAUUUAAAAAUUUGAAAGACAAAAAAGAUACUCAACAGAAGAAAAUGGAGACUAAUGCGUGAUUUGGCUAGGAGUCAUCUACACGAGGAGGCUGAUGGGUCACUCCUGCAACCAACAGUAAAUAUCGGAGCGAACCGAGGUGGGGCAGGACCACGCCACACCACUCGAGUUGCAGCAGCAAAUUCAGCCUCUGCUAUCAUUCAAUUUUGUAAAUGCAAUGACACAGGCCAUACCUCAAAGGACGAGGAGGAGCAAAAUCUUCACAGAUGCUACACCUGCCAGAGCUUGAUAUAGAACAUCAGGGACCGCGUUAAGACUU
rnacentral:lncRNA from 1 species